rnacentral:sRNA from 12 species
GCUUUCAACAUCCCCGUCCGCUGCCCGGCCAGAAAUCUGGCAGGGUGAGCCGGGCUGAAGGC